AUUGAACGCUGGCGGCAUGCCUUACACAUGCAAGUCGAACGGCAGCACGGGUGCUUGCACCUGGUGGCGAGUGGCGAACGGGUGAGUAAUACAUCGGAACGUACCUUAUCGUGGGGGAUAACGCAGCGAAAGCUGUGCUAAUACCGCAUACGCCCUGAGGGGGAAAGCGGGGGAUCGAAAGACCUCGCGCGAUUAGAGCGGCCGAUGCCUGAUUAGAUUGUUGGUGGGGUAAAAGCCCACCAAGGCGACGAUCAGUGGCUGGUCUGAGAGGACGAUCAGCCACACUGGGACUGAGACACGGGCCAGACUCCUACGGGAGGCAGCAGUGGGGAAUUUUGGACAAUGGGGGCAACCCUGAUCGAGCAAUGCCGCGUGAGUGAAGAAGGCCUUCGGGUUGUAAAGCUCUUUUGUCAGGGAAGAAACACCGGCUCUAACACAGUCCGGGAAUGACGGUCCCUGAAGAAUAAGCACCGGCUAACUACGUGCCAGCCGCCGCAGUAA
rnacentral:rRNA from 1 species